AAAGCGUGGGGAUCAAACAGGAUUAGAUACCUUGGUAGUCCACGCCCUAAACGAUGGAUACUCGACAUACGCGAUACACUGUGUGUGUCUGAGCGAAAGCAUUAAGUAUCCCACCUGGGAAGUACGUUCGCAAGAAUGAAACUCAAAGGAAUUGGCGGGGGUCCGCACAAGCGGUGGAGUAUGUGGUUUAAUUCGAUGAUACGCGAGGAACCUUACCUGGGCUAGAAUGCUGGGAGACCGUGGGUGAAAGCUCACUUUGUAGCAAUACACUGCCAGUAAGGUGCUGCAUGGCUGUCGUCAGCUCGUGCCGUGAGGUGUUGGGCUAAGUCCCGCAACGAGCGCAACCCCUAUCUUUAGUUGCCAACAGGUAAUGCUGGGAACUCUAAAGAAACUGCCGCCGUAAGGUGUGAGGAAGGAGGGGAUGAUGUCAAGUCAUCAUGGCCUUUAUGCCCAGGGCUACACACGUACUACAAUGGGGGAGACAAAGGGCUGCAACAUAGCGAUAUGAAGCCAAUCCCAAAAACUCCCUCUCAGUUCAGAUUGCAGGCUGCAACUCGCCUGCAUGAAGCUGGAAUCGCUAGUAAUCGUAUAUCAGCAAUGAUACGGUGAAUACGUUCCCGGACCUUGCACACACCGCCCGUCAAGCCAUGGGAGUCGGGUG
rnacentral:rRNA from 1 species